GUGCUUACUUCAAUAGCACACAUACAAAAAUUGGAAUGAUACAGAGAUUAUCAUGGCCCCUGUGUAAGACUGACAUGCAAAUUCAUGAAGUGCUUCAUAUUUUU
rnacentral:snRNA from 1 species